UACAGAGGUCCCAAGCGUUGUUCGGAUUCCCUGGGCGUAAAGGGCGCGUAGGCGGCUAGAUGUGUCCACGGUGAAAUCCCUCGGCUCAACUGAGGAACUGCCUUUGAAACUGUCUGGCUUGAGGCCGGGAGAGGGUAGCGGAAUUCCCAGUGUAGAGGUGAAAUUCGUAGAUAUUCGCAAGAACACCAGUGGCGAAGGCGGCUCACUGGCCCGAUACUGACGCUGAGGCACGAAAGCGUGGGGAGCAAACAGG
rnacentral:rRNA from 1 species